UCUCCUCCUCUUUACAAUCGUUAAAUAGACUAACUUCUGCUCAAUUUUGUUACUGAUCUUGAAUCUCCAGACCCUGUGCUCACUUUCUGCUGGUACCUGGUGGAACGUUCCCACGCCAUCUUCCUGGAGGACUUCACAGUCUUGAUUUUCACAGUCAUUUUAGUGCCUCCUGACAGUUUACAUGCUACUUUGCACAGGUCAGGGUUAAGUCAUGAGCAUACCCUAGCAAUCAGAGAAUCUGUGGUUUCCAAAGUGUGUUAGAGUUUCACAUAUGCACGCUGAUAGCCUAGCUUCAUCGACAUGAGCAGAACAGCAUUGGUUCUCAAAUCCUCACAUCACUGGGAGACAAGAUCACUUUACAAUUAGCUUGCAGUUUGUGUCAUCUUACAUAAGGGCUGCAGCAUAUCUGUACCUCAUGGGGGUCGCUUGUUGACAAUAGCAGAAUCCAGUUGUCAAGCAAAUUGGUGAGUAAAAAAUAGUAUAAUUUAAAAAUGAAUUACCCAUUAACUAUAUUUCUCCCACAAGCAUAUCUGGAAUCCCAAAUAACAGCUGUAGAUAUGAGUACAUUAAUUAAUUCUGACCCAAGAAAACUCAGUUUUCAAUCCUGUAUUGUAUUUCUAAAGACAUGAAGAAUUACGAGACCCCUACUCGAAAUCUUUGGAGCCAAGUAUCUUUCAGAAUUCUAAUUUUCAGACUUUAGAAAGGCAGAGUGGUGCCUGUGCUGGUUGUACACUAAGUGUCCGGGCAGUGCUCAGGAGUCAAAUACGGUUGAUCUUCAUUAAUUUGCAGGUUCCAUAUUUGCAAAUUAGUCUAUUUGAUAACAUUUAUUUGUAACCAGAAAAGGAAUACUCACAGUGCUUUCUUGGUUAUUCACAGAUGCACACAGAGCAUGCUCAUGUUCCCAGCUCUCAUACAGUGACCAAGAGUCCUUUACACUAUCUAUUUAGGGCCAUGUUUUUUGCAUUUUUGUGCUUUUUGUUGGUGAUUUUGCUGUUUAAAGUUUCCCCCAGGUGCAGUGCUGAAGUGCUGUCUGGUGUUUCUUAGCACAAGAGGCUGUGAUGUGCCACACGGAGGAAACGGGGAUGGAGCUAAUGAGAAGUGAAAUGACCAAGGCCAGGCAGCGGACCAGAGAGAAUCAGUGGCAGGCCAGCAUCGGGACACCUGGUGCCAAACGAUUAGGAGCUGCCUAUAGAACAGAAGAAAAAGUUGGUGAUCUAUAUAUAUAUAUGCACAUGUAUACACACGUGACAACAUGUUAUUUUUAUUUUUAAAUGUCAGAUUUGUUUGAUUGAUAAAUAUAUGGAUAUUUUCAAAUUAAAAAUAAAGAGAAAUGUACUUAUUAAAGGCUUACUUGGAAAUUAAGAUCUAACACUAUAAAUUUAAAAGUCAUAAAAUAUUCUUUUGCAUAUUGUUUGUUUGAAGUACCUUGAGCUAUGUAAUAUAAUACAUAAUAUUACAUAUAUUUUAUAGACAUAUAUGGUCGAAUUUUAAUUGAAGAAGUGGCAACCUCUUAGGCUACUUAAGAUUACACGGGACUUAGAAUUUUUUCUUUUUUGAUGAAUUUUGUAAUUUCUAGCUUUAAAUGCAUAGCUACUAUGGCAAUUAUUAGAAAAAUCAUAUAUGAAUCAAAUUAUUUGAAACUUUUUUAUCAUUGGAAAUCUUAAAUAUAUUUUGUUUUAAAUAUGCCUCUAAUUUCCUGAUUAGUCUUUGGUAAUUUACAUCAUCAGUUAAGAUUCAACCCUAAAAAUCUAUGAAAGAAUAAUAACUAGAAUUUUGUUUUUACAUGACUGCACAAAUAAGGACUUGUUUACUUCUUUAUCUAUAUCUAUAUGAAUGCAUAUAUAUAAUUUUCUAAAUUGUUUUUUUCUUUUUAACACGGGGAAUGCAGUAUGACUGUCAACAAUGCACAAAAUGACUACCUUCAUUUUGAACAUGAUUCAGUAUUUACGCAAACUUUGAAAGCUGAAAGCAAAAUUGUCAUAGACAUAGUGGUAAAUAAGCUGAGAAGAAAGGGAAAAUGAUGGAAGAAUACACAGUUUGUCAUUAUGUAUCUAAAAAAUCAUCCUUGUUUCCA